rnacentral:rRNA from 1 species
UGGGGAAUUUUCCGCAAUGGGCGAAAGCCUGACGGAGCAAUACCGCGUGGAGGAUGACGGCCUAUGGGUUGUAAACUCCUUUUCUUUGAGAAGAAGAUCUGACGGUAUCAAAGGAAUAAGCAUCGGCUAACUCCGUGCCAGCAGCCGCGGUAAGACGGAGGAUGCAAGUGUUAUCCGGAAUUAUUGGGCGUAAAGCGUUUGUAGGUGGAAAAUAAGUCUAUUGUUAAAUCCAGGAGCUUAACUUCUGUACAGCGAUAAGAAACUAUUUUUCUUGAGAAUGGUAGGGGUAGAAGGAAUUCCUAGUGUAGCGGUGAAAUGCGUAGAUAUUAGGAAGAACACCAAAGGCGAAG